UACGUAGGGCGCAAGCGUUGUCCGGAAUUAUUGGGCGUAAAGAGCUCGUAGGCGGCCUGUUGCGUCCGCUGUGAAAUCCCGGGGCUUAACCCCGGGCCUGCAGUGGAUACGGGCAGGCUGGAGGCAGGCAGGGGAGAACGGAAUUCCCGGUGUAGCGGUGAAAUGCGCAGAUAUCGGGAGGAACACCGGUGGCGAAGGCGGUUCUCUGGGCCUGUGCUGACGCUGAG
rnacentral:rRNA from 1 species